GAGAACGACCUCUAUUCAUUAGUAGUACUUGAUUCCUGUCCCUGUGACGACGCGCGCUCAUUUGCUAAAUAUUGUGUAUUUUAUUUUUGAAUUAAUUUAAACACCGGCGUGAUCACGAUCCCUUACAGAUGCCUUUUAAAAUUGUGCAAACGACCGAAAGGGGAUCAACUAAACUGUUUAUUGUUCCAAGCGGGUGGGAAAGUCAGCGUCAACUGCGAUAUCCAAAAAGACCUAAUGAGUCUGCAUUAGUAAGGAAUGAAAAUUCCAAGCCUCGCGCAGAUUGGUCAGUGUUGCCUUGUAAAGUCAAACGGACGGGUUUUUUAACCUAUGAAGAUGCUGACGAGGAAUUGUCAAUUAUGAUGCAGCAUAGCGACACAGAUACCGGCCCCACUAUUUAUGAAGCCUAAAGAGAAACCCAGCUCGCAAUGUCAGGAUUACCAGAUUUCAAUAACUUGGCCGACCAACUAGUAACACUUCUGCAAAAUAAUUUUCAUUUUCAAAUCUUGAAUGUACUACGGAACCACUUGCUUGAACUUCUUGAACGGUGCUUGGCUCAUACACAACUACCGAUUGUUCUGUAUUUUGUGUAUCAAGAGUAUCAUUGUUUGGAACACGUUUUUCAUUACUUAAACCAAAUAUAAAAUUUGAGUAUUCCA